rnacentral:lncRNA from 1 species
AAGUUCUUUUUGCCAUGCUUUGGAGGGAGAAGAAGCCAGCAGCCCUGUGAGGUCUCAGGAGGAGCUGGAGACUGUGGCCACUACUACAGAUCUGACCACUGUAAUGGCUGAACUUCCAGAGCUUCCCUCCAGAAAGUCAUCUUUUCCCCAAAGGAGGCGUGCUUGUCAGACUGAUACCCAGGAGGAUAGGCAGCAUGGUGGUAGCAGGAGAAGAUGAAAGAAGCCUGAGUUCUGAGUAUUAGAUGGAAGAACUAAAAUGAAUUAGAACUGGAGAAGAUGGGAGACUGCCCCAGUGGAUGAUACUAGACAAAAAGAGAUUGAUUCUAUAAUUCUAAAAUAUGGACCUACAGAAGACCCCAAAUAGACAAAGAAGUCUUGCUCAAGAAGAACUAACUAGGGGCUGUGAAUGUAGGUCAUUUGUUACUGUUUGCCUAGCAUGCUCAAAGCCCAGUACCUCAUAAAGCAGGUAAGUGGCUAGUGGCACCUGUCUGUCAUCCCAGCACCCUGGAGGAAGAGCCAUGGGAAGUUCAAGCUCAACUGUCACUGCAAAGCUACCUUGAGGGUAGCUUGAGAUACACGAGACCAUAGAAUCUUUUGGAAGCAAGAAGCGCCACUCUUCCUAAUUUUAGUGUACAUAACAAAAACAUUACAAAGCUACAUUGUCAAGAACAGUAUGUCACCGGCAUAAAAAUGGGCACAUACAACAGUGGAAGAGCAUCAAAAGCUCAGAAAUAAACUCCUAUGGCUAUAGUCAGCUGAUCUUCAACAAAGAUGCCAUAGGGUGAAGGAAGCAGUCUGUCACCUGGAGGUUUAUCAGUUGGCGUUCUUGAGGCAAACUCUCCCUGGUCAGACUAAGAGGAGAAAAGCAGACUCCUUGUGAUGUACAUGAACAUACACAUGAACGCAGGAGCCCCUCUUCAUACUACACAUGAACACAGGAGCCCCACAAGACACAAAACUAGAAGAAGGGCCAGAUGACUGAGACAGAUCUCCCACUUCAUGGGGGCAAGGGAAGCAAUUUCAGAAGGAGAGUAAAUGAUUUCUGGUGAAAAUGAAUAAUAAUAUUAAUAAUAAUAAAAGAACAAAACAAAACAAAAAAUAGAAAACAGAACAUAGCCUGGGACCAAGCUCUUCAGAGGUGCAAGCCGCGGUAGGAGCACAAUGGAGCAACACUCAACAGCCACUCCAGUGACAGCCUUCCAGGAGACCAAGGGUGCAUCUCUCCAGGAGGAUGUGCCGACCACCCACCCACCCCCGAUCUCUUUUGGACUGAUUCAUCUUCCCUGAUAAUGCAGUUUCGAGGAGAAAAUUGACCAUUCCCCACAUCCCUUGGGAUAUCUCCAUUUAGAAAAUAAGGAACAUGGAAGUCAGAGCCGGAGGUAAAUGAUCUCGCACGUGUUAACUUGGGUGAGUCUUACAAAGAUUCUGGGGUACAGACAAAUAUACAAUUCCAAUUCAGCUGAGGUUAAGCGGCAUAGCCAAGGUUACCCCAUGAACAUCAGCUUAAGCCUGGUUGAUUCCAAAAUCACUUGAUUGGCCAUUCUAAAGUAUCAAAUAGCGUGUUUUCGAGUUUUGUGUCUUGUGGGGCUCUGCGUUCAUGUAUCUUGAUUUCUGUCCUCUCCCCAUGGCUUCAUAAACGUGUAUAUUGAGUUUUCUCACCAUUGAUAUAAUAAGAGUAAAUGGCUUCAUAAUGAGAGUGUUAAACUAUUAUUGUGUUUCUGUGCUUUGCCUUAAGGCUAUGUGCGGAUGGCCCUAGUAACACAAGGCAGGAAUCUUGAAUUAAUUUCUGCUGCCCUCUUGUGUCAGAGACUAGCAACGACGCCCUAGGAGGAACCGGAUACCUUGGCUCCGGUCUAAUUUCUUUCCUUUUAUUCAUCGAGGGAUCAUGCCACUCUGAGAGAAGAAGUCUGAAUUCUAAAAUUUGAUCUGUUCCAGAGAAUCUUGGCUCACACGAAACACUCAGUAAAAGAGUAAAGAAUGUGACUGUUUCCUUAAAACCAACCAUUUCAGUAUGCAAUGGAAUAAAAUUAAAUCAAUACAACACAAUGC